rnacentral:rRNA from 1 species
CCUACGGGAGGCAGCAGUGGGGAAUAUUGGACAAUGGGGGCAACCCUGAUCCAGCCAUGCCGCGUGUGUGAAGAAGGCCCUCGGGUUGUAAAGCACUUUCAGUGAGGAAGAACGCCUGGUGGUUAAUACCCAUCAGGAAAGACAUCACUCACAGAAGAAGCACCGGCUAACUCCGUGCCAGCAGCCGCGGUAAUACGGAGGGUGCGAGCGUUAAUCGGAAUUACUGGGCGUAAAGCGCGCAUAGGUGGCUUGAUAAGCCGGUUGUGAAAGCCCCGGGCUCAACCUGGGAACGGCAUCCGGAACUGUCAAGCUAGAGUGCAGGAGAGGAAGGUAGAAUUCCCGGUGUAGCGGUGAAAUGCGUAGAGAUCGGGAGGAAUACCAGUGGCGAAGGCGGCCUUCUGGACUGACACUGACACUGAGGUGCGAAAGCGUGGGUAGCAAACAGGAUUAGAUACCCUAGUAGUC